GGGGCCGUUUCCGGAUAUUGGGCGUAAGAGCUCGUAGGCGGUUUGUCGCGUCUGCCGUGAAAGUCCGGGGCUCAACUCCGGAUCUGCGGUGGGUACGGGCAGACUAGAGUGAUGUAGGGGAGACUGGAAUUCCUGGUGUAGCGGUGAAAUACGCAGAUAUCAGGAGGAACACCGAUGGCGAAGGCAGGUCUCUGGGCAUUAACUGACGCUGAGGAGCGAAAGCAUGGGGAGCGAACAGGAUUAGAUACCCUGGUAGUCCAUGCCGUAAACGUUGGGCACUAGGUGUGGGGGACAUUCCACGUUUUCCGCGCCGUAGCUAACGCAUUAAGUGCCCCGCCUGGGGAGUACGGCCGCAAGGCUAAAACCCAAAGGAAUUGACGGGGGCCCGCACAAGCGGCGGAGCAUGCGGAUUAAUUCGAUGCAACGCGAAGAACCUUACCAAGGCUUGACAUGGGCCGGACCGGGCUGGAAACAGUCCUUCCCCUUUGGGGCCGGUUCACAGGUGGUGCAUGGUUGUCGUCAGCUCGUGUCGUGAGAUGUUGGGUUAAGUCCCGCAACGAGCGCAACCCUCGUUCCAUGUUGCCAGCGCGUAAUGGCGGGGACUCAUGGGAGACUGCCGGGGUCAACUCGGAGGAGGGUGGGGACGACGUCAAAUCAUCAUGCCCCUUAUGUCUUGGGCUUCACGCAUGCUACAAUGGCCGGUACAAAGGGUUGCGAUACUGUGAGGUGGAGCUAAUCCCAAAAAGCCGGUCUCAGUUCGGAUUGGGGUCUGCAACUCGACCCCAUGAAGUCGGAGUCGCUAGUAAUCGCAGAUCAGCAACGCUGCGGUGAAUACGUUCCCGGGCCUUGUACACACCGCCCGUCAAGUCACGAAAGUUGGUAACACCCGAAGCCGGUGGCCUAACCCCUUGUGGGAGGGAGCUGUCGAAGGUGGGACUGGCGAUUGGGACUAAGUCGUAACAAGGUAAC
rnacentral:rRNA from 1 species